UACGAAGGGGGCUAGCGUUGCUCGGAAUCACUGGGCGUAAAGCGCACGUAGGCGGAUUGCUAAGUCAGGGGUGAAAUCCUGGAGCUCAACUCCAGAACUGCCUUUGAUACUGGCGAUCUUGAGUCCGGGAGAGGUGAGUGGAACUGCGAGUGUAGAGGUGAAAUUCGUAGAUAUCGGGAAGAACACCCGUGGCGAAGGCGGCACUCUGGGACGGUACUGACGCUGAGACGCGAAAGCGUGGGGAGCGAACAGG
rnacentral:rRNA from 1 species